CUACCGAUCUUAUGGAGAAUCCCUUCGGUCAUGAAUGACCAUGGGAUUGAACCUAGAAUGUUACCCUCCUAGGCACAAGUCCGGGCAAGGUUGUUUAUGGAAGACCAGCUGUCGCCCGUGCAUACCGGCUUCCCUUCUCCACGUCACCAGUGUUAUCCAAGGGAAAGGCAAAGGAGCCGAUACAGCUGGCACCUGUGACGUCGCAACUCAUUUCUACAGCUGAGUGAACUGGAGCAAUGUGAAAUAAAGUGUCUUGCUCA